AUAACCUUUCUUCAACUUUCUUCUCUCCUUACCUCUAAAAACGUUUCGCACAAGCUGAGUAGUGGUUUGACACCAAGGACACGUCUCCGAACUUCAUCAAGAUCCUUGUUUAAUCCCAUCAGGAAUUUAAAUACCCACUUAUGCUCCGUGAUUGUCUUGAAGAGUUUGGCAUCGGCUGAGCAAUUCCAUUGAUGUUCUUCGAAGACGUCCAAUUGUUGCCAACUACGAGUUAGGAGAUUGUAGUACUGAGUUACGCUCAGUUCGCCCUGUUGCAGUUCGUGGAGUAUUGAUUCAACUUCAAAAAUAGCGGACGUUUUUUCCUCGCUAGAGUAAAAUUCUUGAGCUGUUUCUCAUAUCUCUUGUGCAGUCUUAUAGAGUAGGAAAUUUUCUCCGAUUUCAGGUGUCAUUGAGUUCACGAGUCAGGGCAUGACCAUACUGUUCUCAAUCUUCCAUAAGCGAGCAUUCGGGUCAUUCGGAGAAGGAGGGGUGAGUUCUCCAGUGAGGUGUCCGUCGUGCCCUUUACCCCGGAUGAAUAACAGAUAGGAUGAUGACCACUGUAAGCAGUUGUCUCCAUUUAGCUUAUGUUCGGUGAUAAACAACGUAGAUGAUUCUCCUAAGCCAUGAGUGACUUGUGUUGGAAGGUAAGAACCCGAGGUGACUUCGGGUGGAGAGGAUGGAAGCUCAUCCAUCACCAUUUGUGUAUGUGGC
rnacentral:lncRNA from 1 species